CAAGAAAGGAUCCUCAACGGCGAGUGCAAGUGUGAUGACCGUUGGUCUGGCUGCAUCAUGGAUGAUGUUGGCUUCUACCUGCCCAAGAGGUUCUCUAACUGCAACGUGGAGGAGUACCAUACCUUCCUCAACAGUGGUGGUGGAGCCUGUCUCUUCAACAAACCCAUAAAGCUGGUUGACCCUCCAGAGUGUGGGAAUGGUUUGGUGGAGCCAGGGGAGGAGUGUGACUGUGGCAGCCCAGCGGUGAGUAGCUGAGAG